rnacentral:tRNA from 1 species
GCUCUCGUAGCUCAGUCGGUAGAGCACUUCCUUGGUAAGGACGAGGUCGAAGGUUCGAUUCCUUGCGUGCGCACCA